AUAUAGUAUGCGUUGAAAAAAAUACUAAAAGAGAUCCACUGAAUUUUCUGAAAAGACCUGACCUCAUUUAAUGUGGCUCAAAGUUGACAAGAAGGCUUCCUCAACCAGAGGUUCAGGGCAGUGUCUUUGUGAAGUUCUGUCUUCCCACCUCGUGCAACAAAAUCCAGAUUUUUUAACUUAGGCUGGAAAGCCCUACACGACUCUGGUCUUCUGAACAUCUAUCCACCCUCCCUCUGCAUUGCUCACUAUGCUUCCCACACACAGGCCCUUUUUAGCUCCUGGACUGCACAUGCUCAGCCCUAGUGUUGUGCAGGGACUUUGCACAUGCUGUCCCUUCUGCCAGGAAUGCUUUUCCCCAUUCUAAUGGUUGGUUUCUUUCUUCAGGUCUCAGCUGCAAUGUCACCCCUUCAGUGGAGUUCUUCCUUGACUACCUCACAUAAUGUAUCCAGUUCCAGAUACAUCGGUUGAAGUGGAGCCAACCUCUACCACUUGGCAUGUGCUCACUUUUGCCCCACGCAGUCCCCCCAAACCUGACUUCCUUCCUGAAGCAAGCAGAGAGAACCUGCUAAGCUUGCCCAAAAUCCCUAGGAUGCGUUCACAAGUAGAAGUCAUGUGUCUUCUGAAGAACCACACAAAAUAAUAAAAUGGUGGCCAAAAAAACCCCCACCAAAACAAAACAAAUCACUUUUCUGUUAAAAGAGAAAUCUUCAUAGGUAAAAUCUUGCAGAAGCCUUAAGAACAACUGUAGGGAAAAAGAAAAUGGAUUAUCUUACACAUUUUAUUAUUUUUCCCUCUGCAGACUACAAAAUGGCAACCUUUAUCUGAUUCUAAAAACAAACACAUAGGGCGAGCUUAGGGCCCAUCAGCGCUCCUAGGAAAUGUUGCCUGUGGACAUGAACUUGGGUGUUUGCGGUGGGGGCUGGGACGGCAUGAAUAUUUUCCAAGCCUUAUUCAAACAGUAACUUCUAUCUGCUACCAUGCUAUCAAUUUUUCCAACAGUGGAUUGCAAAUUCACCUCAUAAAUCAAUCUGUACAAGAGGUCAGAAGCCAACCACAGCCAAUUAAAACCUCUCAGCAAUAAUUCAUCUAA